AAACAGGCUGUGGUGAUCCCCUUCCAGUCCAUGGAAGACUUCUGUUGCCUGUUAAGGCAAGAUCACUUGAUGGGUCUCCCUGGGUCUAUUUUGUAAACUGACAGCAGUUUUUAAUCAUCAACAGUACAAACCACAAGGAGCACAAUUGCUCUGAAAGAAGGAAUCUUCCAGGAGUAACUGCAUCAGUGCCAGAGGAGACACAUGACAGCUUGCCUCAGAGGAACAGUAGUGACCAGUCACGCAUGCAAACGUAUCCUACUGCAAAUGCAAGCAGGCUCAGAAUCAGCCUUUCCUCCUCCUCUCUCACAUCGUGUUGUUUUCAAAGUUGCUGACUUAGAAUGGAAAAAAGGCAAGCAGCCUAAGUGACUAUGCCAGAGAGGUAGGGACAACUAUGUGUGAACAACCUUGUCAUAUGCAGCAAC